rnacentral:rRNA from 1 species
GUAGGUGGCAAGCGUUGUCCGGAAUUAUUGGGCGUAAAGCGCGCGCAGGCGGUUCUUUAAGUCUGAUGUGAAAGCCCACGGCUCAACCGUGGAGGGUCAUUGGAAACUGGAGAACUUGAGUACAGAAGAGGAAAGCGGAAUUCCACGUGUAGCGGUGAAAUGCGCAGAGAUGUGGAGGAACACCAGUGGCGAAGGCGGCUUUCUGGUCUGUAACUGACGCUGAGGCGCGAAAGCGUGGGGGAGCAAACAGGAUUAGAUACCCUGGUAGUCCACGCCGUAAACGAUGAGUGCUAAGUGUUAGGGGGUUUCCGCCCCUUAGUGCUGCAGCUAACGCAUUAAGCACUCCGCCUGGGAGUACGGCCGCAAGGCUG